GACGAACGCUGGCGGCGUGCUUAACACAUGCAAGUCGAACGGAAAGGCCCUGCUUGCAGGGUGCUCGAGUGGCGAACGGGUGAGUAACACGUGGGUGAUCUGCCCCUUACUUUGGGAUAAGCCUGGGAAACUGGGUCUAAUACUGGAUCGGACUAUGCUGUAGGUGGUGUGGUGGAAUGAUUAGUUUCGGUAAGGGAUGAGCUCGCGGCCUAUCAGCUUGUUGGUGGGGUAAUGGCCUACCAAGGCGUCGACGGGUAGCCGGCCUGCGAGGGUGGAAGGCCACAUUGGGACUGAGAGACAGCCCAGAGUCGGAAGGGAGGCAGCAGUGGGGAAUAUUGCACAAUGGGCGAAAGCGUGAGGCAGCGACGCCGCGUGGGUGAUGACGGCCUUCGGGUUGUAAACACCUUUCAGCCAUGACGAAGCCCUGGUGGUGACGGUAGUGGUAGAAGAAGCACCGGCUAACUACGU
rnacentral:rRNA from 1 species